rfam:Heligmosomoides polygyrus genome assembly, scaffold: HPBE_scaffold0000236
GCGCUGGUAGUGUAAGGCGUAACACCGCUGCCUGGAAAGCAGAAGGUACAGGUUCGAGUCCCGCCUGCCGCA